ACAGGCUGGGAUAUAUUCCGAGGGGGAAAAGUUAUGGCGAUUAUGAGGAAUUGAACCAUAAGCGUAUAGCUUUUCCCCUUUGGCGUAUGUCGUUCCAACG
rnacentral:miRNA from 13 species